GAUGGUAUAGUGGUUAGAGCUUCCGCCUCGGAUGCGGGAGGUCGCCGGUUCGAACUCUGGCCAAAUCA